CGUAACCUCAGUCAUCCUAUAGCAUUCGAAGUAGAAACUAGAAAGGUUCAUACCUACUUUAUGCGAGUGAGAUAACUUUGAAGGGCAAACGAAAAGUCAUCAUAUACAAAGCAAACAACAUUGUGGAAAGUAAACUCCGGAGAAUAUUUAACGAAAAAUGUAAGAAAAUAAGACUAACAUCUAAACUCCAUAACAAUUUGGACGGGACCCAAUCUGCACAUUAGUCAUGAUGUCACGAACAAAUUAAACAGCCUCCUAGACUUAUGAUAAUUCGACAGUUGAUUUUAUAAGCCGUUACUUUCGUUUUGUAAUGGACUGCUGUAUAUUUAUGAUCAAAAUGUGCUCCGAUUAUCAAACCUGAUUUCUGCCAUGACCGGCUUCAAUGGCGAUGAGACAAUGUCGGUGGUCCAUCCUUCUGCACCUAAGGGUACGAUCCAGUAUCCAGUAUCCAGCUCUGUGGCGCAAGAAGCCCUUAUAUUGGAAAGAAGAGUUUAAGAAGCUUGGAGAUGGAUCGAGCUGCCAAUCUUUGAAGGCGGAUACCUGUGGCUCCUCAGAGGUCGGUGGUACCUCUUGCAGUUCGAAAUUUGAGCGUGGCACCCGAUCUCUACAGCAGGAGGUCUUUCUGUGGAAACUUCAAGUCUUAGAAACUCCAAGUCAGAAGAAUGGAGGGGAAAUUCACAUGGCUUGUACAGGUAAGUUUGAUGAUAUAUAUGUUAUUAUUAUAAUUACUUUUAUUAUUAUUCAUACAUUGGAACCGUUUUUAUGUAAAUGGAAAUCCGGUUAUUCACACGAAGAUUGCCUCGGAAGGACGAAAUA